rnacentral:lncRNA from 1 species
CCCCAUGAGACUCGCUUGUCAAGUCGAGAGGCACUAUGCCUUCUGAACCGCUGAAGGAAAAAGGUCUCCAGAUCGUAUCUGUCCAACCAAGGGAAGCGGAGGAAUGGGAAAAAAAUAGAAAUGAGGAAACAUAAUAAACACAAAACACAAAUAGUUCAAAACCAUGGAAACGGACAACGGUCAUGGGAGAUGCAGGAACACUGCUUUGCCUUCCGUGCCAACAAUUUGAAAACAGAGCUGAAAUGAAAAUGCCCGGGGCAGCCACAUUAUCAGCCUUCUUCAAGGUAGGAGGAAGAACGAGUCAGUUGGAAGGUCCUCACUUCCACAACACCCCCC